ACAUCUGCCAUGAGAAACAUCAAACACCUACCAACCCCAAAAUAGACGAACUUUAUUAUAGAUAUUAGACAUAAACUACAACAAUCUGCAUGACUACAUCUUGAAGUCAUGUACUGCGGUCCUCCAACCCACUCCUUCUCACCUCUUCCAAAACCAAAUAGGUAGGCCAAAGAAUGAUUAUUCUCAAGGUUUUCAUCUAUAUGAAAAUGAUGCAACUAUAAUAUACCC
rnacentral:lncRNA from 1 species